rnacentral:rRNA from 1 species
UGGGGAAUUUUGGACAAUGGGGGCAACCCUGAUCCAGCAAUGCCGCGUGAGUGAAGAAGGCCUUCGGGUUGUAAAGCUCUUUUGUCAGGGAAGAAACGGUAGUAGCGAAUAACUAUUACUAAUGACGGUACCUGAAGAAUAAGCACCGGCUAACUACGUGCCAGCAGCCGCGGUAAUACGUAGGGUGCAAGCGUUAAUCGGAAUUACUGGGCGUAAAGCGUGCGCAGGCGGUUGUGUAAGUCAGAUGUGAAAUCCCCGGGCUCAACCUGGGAAUUGCAUUUGAGACUGCACGGCUAGAGUGUGUCAGAGGGGGGUAGAAUUCCACGUGUAGCAGUGAAAUGCGUAGAUAUGUGGAGGAAUACCGAUGGCGAAGGCAGCCCCCUGGGAUAACACUGACGCUCAUGCACGAAAGCGUGGGGAGCAAACAGGAUUAGAUACCCAAGUAGUCCCUGAGCGGGCUGGCAAGGCGCAU